rnacentral:rRNA from 1 species
UUUAAUUCGAAGCAACGCGCAGAACCUUACCAGCUCUUGACAUGGGAAUCGCGGAUAUGAGAGAUCUUAUCCAUCAGUUCGGCUGGAUUCCACACAGGUGCUGCAUGGCUGUCGUCAGCUCGUGUCGUGAGAUGUUGGGUUAAGUCCCGCAACGAGCGCAACCCUCGUCUUCAGUUGCCAUCAGUUUGGCUGGGCACUCUGGAGAAACUGCCGGUGAUAAGCCGGAGGAAGGUGGGGAUGACGUCAAGUCCUCAUGGCCCUUAUGGGCUGGGCUACACACGUGCUACAAUGGUGGUGACAGUGGGCAGCGAAGGGGCGACCUGGAGCUAAUCCCCAAAAGCCAUCUCAGUUCGGAUUGCACUCUGCAACUCGAGUGCAUGAAGUUGGAAUCGCUAGUAAUCGUGGAUCAGCAUGCCACGGUGAAUACGUUCCCGGGCCUUGUACACACCGCCCGUCACACCAUGGGAGUUGGUUUUACCCGAAGCUGGUGCGCUAACCUUUUCGAAGGAGGCAGCCAACCACGGUACGGUCAGCGACUGGGGUGAAGUCGUAACAAGGUA